AAAAGUCUUAAGUUAAAUAAACUAAUAGCCUUCAAAGUUGUAAUUGAUUUCUUGGUCAGACUUUGUUUAAAGGGC
rnacentral:tRNA from 1 species